UCGCGGCUUAUCACCGGCAGUCCCCCUAGAGUGCCCAACCGAAUGCUGGCAACUAGGGGCGAGGGUUGCGCUCGUUGCGGGACUUAACCCAACAUCUCACGACACGAGCUGACGACAGCCAUGCAGCACCUGUGCGCAGGUCUCUUGCGAGAAGGAAUCCGUCUCCGGAAGCCGUCCUGCCAUGUCAAGGGCUGGUAAGGUUCUGCGCGUUGCUUCGAAUUAAAGAACAUGCUCCACCGCUUGUGCAGGCCCCCGUCAAUUCCUUUGAGUUUCAGCCUUGCGGCCGUACUCCCCAGGCGGGGCACUUAUCGCGUUAGCUGCGAGACGGAGAGGGCCGAUCCCCCCCGCCUCUAGUGCCCAUCGUUUACGGCGUGGACUAC
rnacentral:misc_RNA from 1 species